CGUAGGUGGCAAGCGUUGUCCGGAAUUAUUGGGCGUAAAGCGCGCGCAGGCGGCUUCUUAAGUCCAUCUUAAAAGUGCGGGGCUUAACCCCGUGAUGGGAUGGAAACUGAGAGGCUGGAGUAUCGGAGAGGAAAGUGGAAUUCCUAGUGUAGCGGUGAAAUGCGUAGAGAUUAGGAAGAACACCGGCGGCGAAGGCGACUUUCUGGACGACAACUGACGCUGAGGCGCGAAAGCGUGGGGAGCAA
rnacentral:rRNA from 1 species